rnacentral:rRNA from 1 species
GACGAACCGUGCGAACGUUAUUCGGAAUCACUGGGCUUAAAGCGCGUGUAGGCGGGACGGCACGUCGGUCGCUGAAAUCCCCCGGCUUAACCGGGGAACGGGCGUCGAUACGACCGUCCUGGAGGGGCGUAGGGGGACCUGGAACUUCCGGUGGAGCGGUGAAAUGCGUUGAGAUCGGAAGGAACGCCUGUGGCGAAAGCGAGGUCCUGGACGCCUACUGACGCUGAGACGCGAAAGCCAGGGGAGCGAACGGG